GGGCAAGUCUUGCAGGCCUGUGAAGCUGAGGGAGUCCAGACCUCCAUGGUUCUCAGCCUGGGGAUGCCAGGAAGAGCCUCAUGGUCAAAGUCACCCAUGAAUUGUCAUGUGAUAUUGAUUGAGUUCUGGAACUUACCUGAUAAAAAAUAAUUACCUGAUGGAUGAGAUCAAUAAGAUCUUUGUGUAUAGAAUGUUAACAAGAAAAGAAAAAAAAAAUCACUAUAGUUGAAUUUUUCUUUUCUAAAACCUAUACAGGAGAUCAAUAUGGGGAGCCUGCAGUUUGAUCUCCUCAAAGGUAUCAGGAACUGAAGCCAAGAUGAUUCAUGUGUAUGAUUUUUGUAGAUACAACUUGCUUACUUCCUACCAAUAUUAUUUUGAACCUUAGAAUCAGCUAAUUUCAUGCACGCUUCUUAUCCCUAAGCACUGAACAAAACCCUGUGGAUCUUCCGUGCUUCCUCCCACCGCUUAUGACAGUCCACUGAUGUCCUCCACACAGACCACCUCAAUAGGCCUUUAGUUGUUCCCUUUCAAUCUCAAAUAACUUCCUUAAGAAACUCUAUAGCAGGAAAGAUUAUUCUUUACCAACUGAAUGCUAGAAAUCACCUACUGAUGUUAUUUAUGUUAAUCCCUUCUAGGUGAAGGUACUUGUUCACCCAUGUCCUCAGGGAUUCCCCAGUUCAGGAGUGUGUGGCAGAGAAGAGUCGGUAUUAUCUUGCUUGUUCGGUGCCUUUUCCCAGCCUUUACCUCUAUAUUCUCAGGUAGCACGCCCACAUAUUGGAAACUUAGCCCAUCUAGUCUAGUCUACUCUAUUAAGGUCUGUGUUCUUAACCAUCUUCCCAUAAUAAUUGAGGUUAUAGCACUUGUUUCCUUUUCCUUCCUGAAUUCUGUUACCAUCAUUUCCAUGACUGUUAUUACUGAUGUCGAUGAACAAGUAUUUCUAGCUCUCUCCCUCAUGGGUCAUAUGUUAGGAUCACCCACAGGAAAACUUGUUCUUCCAAAAGUAUCGUGAACAGAUAUAAUCAGUGACAUUUACUAGUCAGGGUAUUUAAUUACUGGCUUCAGACACUCUUAGAGUGUUCUUUUCCUCUGGCAUGACAUCUAACUAGUGAUACUGCUUCAGCCUAUAUCCUUAAAUAGGUGUGAAAAACAGAACAUAUAAACAGACUUGUCAGAGUAGUAGCAUAAGCCCAAUGAGAUACUGCUGUGCUGCUCACACAGCAUAAAUGAGCC
rnacentral:lncRNA from 1 species